AAGCAAGAGGACCCGCCGAAUUUAANCAUAUAAUUAANCGG
rnacentral:rRNA from 1 species